ensembl:lncRNA LINC01322 long intergenic non-protein coding RNA 1322
AAUCCCGCGCGGCUCAGAGAUGGGUUUCUGGACUCGCGAAGCAGCUGCAACAAGGCAUCACUCACUGUAUAAGUAUUUCCAUUUCUGAGAGCAAAAGGAAGAACUUAAGCGGGCGGCACUUGGAGUGUAAAUUGCUUUGUAGUAUUUAAAGGCAGAAUGGAUCCUGGGCAGCCGAGCUGCAACAAACCGGCAGGACUUCCUGUGAAAUCAUGACCACCAUGUGCUCUUUCAGCCUCUAUCAGUUCCUACCUCUAAGCACCUGAGAGCCAAAGCAAACCACAGGAAACCACAGGUACUAACUCUUUUAGACCUGAUGAAGUGUCUCCCAAAUACAGUCUGGCAUGGUUGCCGACUUCUCAAGCUGCAGAAGACAUUUUAAAGCAACAUUUAUUUUUCAUUCAUUCAUUCAACGUUCACUGAAUUACUAAAACACUUACUAAGUGUCUGUUAUAUGCCAAGUACUGCUCGAAGUACUGGAGAUGUAGAAGAGAUCAAGACGUAGUAUCUACCCUCAAGGAGUUUCCAGACCAGUAAUCAGAAGUAAGACUUGGCUACAAAAAGAAAAAGACUCAAACUAAACGUCAGCUUUUCCCGGCUCUCAAGCCUGCUGGUCCCUGAACUAAAACUCACAUUAUCAACUCUACUGGUUCUUAGGCCUUUGGAGUCAGACUGGAACUACAGCAUUGACUCUUCCGGAACUCCAGCUUACUGACUACAGAUCUUGGAACUUUUCAGCUUCCACAACCAUAAUGAAAGCCAAGCAUAUUCCAUCAUUUCCUAAAACCAAGAUAGAGCACAUAUGGGAACUUGUGAAAUAAGGUAAAUUUUUAGUUUUAAUUCUAAGAUAACAUUUAAUUGAGGAAUGAAGUGAAAAUUCUCCUUUCCUUUUUUUUUUUUUUUUGGAACAUGGGUAUGGUCAGCAGCCUCCAACAUGACUCCUAAAGAUCUCUACCUCUUAGCAUUUAUACUGUCAUGUAAUUCUUUCCCCUUAAGGGUGGUUGAUUUAAUGACUUGUUUCUAAUAAACAAAAUAUUACAAAAGUGAUGGGCUGUCAUUUCUAAUUAGGUUAUGAAAGACUGUGGUCUGGUUUGGGUGCCUUCUCUUACAUUCUCAUUCACUUGUUGUGAGGGAAUCAAGCUACAGUGUUUUAAGGUGCACACAUGUCAAAGAACUGAUGUUUUCAGCCGGGAUCCAGCAAGGACCUGAGGUCAUCCAAAAGGCAUGUGAAUGAGUUUGGAAGAAAUCUUUCCCCAGUUGUGCUCUGAGAUAAUUGCGACACUGGCGUACAAUUUCCUGAGAGAUGUUGAGCCAGAACCACCACGCUGAGCAAAACAAGAUUCCUGACCUGAGAGAACUGUGAGAUGAUAAAUGUUUUGUUUUGAACCAAGGUAUUUUAGAAAAUUUAUUACACAGCAAUAGAUAACAAAUACAUACAGUGGAAACAUCUUCAGUAUUGUAGACUUGAGUAUGGUGGUUAGCAGGAUAUUUUCUGUCAUCAGAAGUCAGCAUAAGUAAAGGAAAUUAACAAUAGUUCAGAGAAGGCCAUAAGAUAGAAACUUGGUAAGGAAACACUGUACCUGUUCUACCUACUUCUAAGUUUUUCUUUAUUUCCACCACUCUUUGAUGCCAUGGCAAUAAAUAAUAUAUAUACAUACAUAUAUAUAUAUACACACACACACAUAUAUAUAUAUAUACACACACACAUACAUAUAUAUAUAUCUUUCAGGUUCUCUUUCUGCAGCCACUUACUAAGCUAUAAUGAUAAUAAAGGGACAAAAAGACUGGGAAUUGAACUUCAGUCAUAAUGAAAUGACUCCAUAAUUCAAAGACAAAUAAACCCAUAAUUUCCUUUUUGGAUUUAAAGAAGAAACAUUUAUCAAAUAAACUGAUAAACAAUAAUAUACUUUUACGUAGCCUAAGAUAAAAGCCAUUUGUCUAUAUUAGGGUUCUGAUAACAAUACACAAUUCUCACUCACAAAAAGAUUUUGUCAUGGGAUCAGGAGUAACUGCAGGUGUUUAUUUCCAGUCAGAAUAACUGAAAAAUUUCAACUGGACUUCCAAUGUUUAUAUAAACCUGGUUGUUUCUACAGAAAAGUAAAUAGUUUAAUUACCAUUUGCCACGAUUCCUGUUUGGAAAGUUAGCUUUCUGAAAAUAUUGAUAAGUGUAUAUUUCAGGGACAUCAAAUUAUGAAACAGACAAUUACAUGACUUGUCAGUUCAUUAUGCUAGAAAGAUUUAAAAGGUAAAUUAGAUUUUAUAAGUCAUACCAAAUGUUCACACUGAAGGAUUCAACACAUCUUUAGAAUACUUCAAGUAUAUUAGGAGAAAAAAUGCAACUUUAUUCUUGAGCUGAUUCAGCAGAGUAGAAAUAAUUUUGACAUUUGUAGUUUCUAGAUGAGGCUUGAUGUAAGAAUAAAAAUUCUUUCAGGAACUGUGUGUCUGUGAUUUAAAAGUUUAUGUUGAACAGUUUGAAAGUAUGAAGACUACUUUUACAACCAAGAAAAGAAAAUGAACUGAAUUGAACUGAAUGAUUGAAUCAACAAAAUAGUAAACCUCUGCUCAUAUUAUUAAUAUAGUCUUUCCUCUCAUAUUACUGGUAAGCCCAUAAAUAGCAUCAUAUUAUGCAAUCCGAGAAACUUCCAUGUCUAGGGUCAAUACCAAUUAAGAUUGGGUGGCUCGUAGGGUGGAGGUGGUAGUCGUAGAGCUGACAGAAUUUUGGUGUUAGCAUUUGCUCAUAGGCUGUUUUUUGACAACUUUUUAAAAAGCAGUUAUUAUGUGUCAAAUAUAAUUUCCAGUUUAAAUUAAAAAUAAAGGCCUAGGAUGU